GCCAGAGUAGCUCAGUGGUAGAGCAGCUCACUCGUAAUGAGCAGGUCCUGGAUUCGAUCUCCAGCUCUGGCU
rnacentral:tRNA from 1 species